AACAUUGCAAAGUGCAUUGCGUAACAUAAAAUCUAUGCCAAAGAUGGACUGUAUUACUUACAUUUUAAACUACUAAAAUAGAUACACAGUCAUGACAUUUCUUCCUAAAUUGUUCCAGUGGAAAGUGCAGCACAGUUGGCCUCUUCAUUCUUUUCCAAUCAAGCUCUGCCUAUUAAGGAAUCCCAAAUAAAAAGAAACAGAGAAGUCCAGCAACAUGAGAUGGCAUCCACAGGGAAAACAGAGCUGAGUGAAUUGUGGCAGGGUUACUUUAAAGCAUGGCCUUCCCUGGAACAUCCUCCACCUGACUCAAUACUUCCCUGGACUAAUAGGCCUAUGCCUGCUCUGAAUGCAGUGUCUCAGAUUAGAUGGAUACUCCAGUAUCUGGUGUUUUUGAAUAUACUCCUAUA